AUUGAACGCUGGCGGCAUGCCUUACACAUGCAAGUCGAACGGUAACAGGUCUUCGGAUGCUGACGAGUGGCGAACGGGUGAGUAAUACAUCGGAACGUGCCCGAGAGUGGGGGAUAACGAAGCGAAAGCUUUGCUAAUACCGCAUACGAUCUCAGGAUGAAAGCAGGGGACCGCAAGGCCUUGCGCUCACGGAGCGGCCGAUGGCAGAUUAGGUAGUUGGUGGGAUAAAAGCUUACCAAGCCGACGAUCUGUAGCUGGUCUGAGAGGACGACCAGCCACACUGGGACUGAGACACGGCCCAGACUCCUACGGGAGGCAGCAGUGGGGAAUUUUGGACAAUGGGCGAAAGCCUGGUCCAGCCAUGCCGCGUGCAGGAUGAAGGCCUUCGGGUUGUAAACUGCUUUUGUACGGAACGAAAAGGCUCUGGUUAAUACCUGGAGUCCAUGACGGUACCGUAAGAAUAAGCACCGGCUAACUACGUGCCAGCCGCCGCAGUAACAC
rnacentral:rRNA from 1 species